AGCAGUGUGUUUGUGUUUUCCAUCCACUUCCCACGAAGCAUCCUACUGCGCACUCCACUGUGUAUUUGGAUCUAUCAGUGUACAGGAUCUCUCUUCCACGGCUGGACUGAGGACAUAAGGGAAGCAAUAUCACAGCGGCCUAUCCCAGGCAUCAAGGAAUAGUUGUCACGAUGAUAGUUACCAUGUUAACAGCUAUGUACAUGGUGGUCAGAGUAGUAGAAAAGAUAGGAGUGCUACUUGCACGCAGUGAUCCUCCGUUGCCUUUCAUGGUGCCCCAGGCUCUGCCCUGGCAGGUGCACCACGUGUCCCAAAAAAGGAGGAGCAGCGCAACAGCUGAGUGCGCCGGCCAGACGAGGAACAGCGUAGGAGUGUUCAGAAAGAGUGAGUCUGAGACCAAACAAUGUUGAAAAGAGUCAAAUGCGCACACCUAGAAAACAUUUCCCAGAUGCUGAAUCCGAGAGGGAAAAAAUGUAGAUCUAUUUUUUAAUUGGCACAUUGGUAUGCUGCUCCCACGGUGUUGAACAAAGGUAUGACUAGGUCUUCCUCAUUACAACCCAGAAACGGGUCCGAGACAUCCUUUUCUCUCUAAAACACUUCGGGUGCAGCAUACGAGUGUGCGGAUUCAUAUUUUUCUUAUCUAUGACACUCAGUCCACGGCAAUAUAUCUAUAAUAACGAAGUAUAAUCACCUACCCACAUAGAGGCUUGCUGAAAGGCUACAUCACUUCAUAACCCCUAACGUUAAAGACCCCUUGUGCCUUACUACUUAUGUACUUGCUACGUUGUUACACACAGUAAAUUCGGACAUCUUCCCCAAUGCAACGCUGGCUGUUGCUGUUGUCACUUUGACUGUGCCCUGUCUCCUGACGCGCAAUCGGAAAGACUCUGCGUGCAGCAACGGGUGUGCAGCGGCGCCCCUCAGCCCCACUCUGCCCGUGGAGAAAGCUGCCGCCACCAUUCAGAACCAGUUCAGGAAGUACCAGCAGAAGAAGAAGACCAAGUAGAACCGCACCACCGGACCUCUGCACGACAGACAGACGGACACAAAUACACAAACAGACAGACAGACAGAGUCCUCUCUACAAUGUAAAGAGCAGAGGCCCAAACAUGUAAUCUAACUCCAUUAGCCAUCUUUCAUAGCAUGUAUACCAAAGGAAAUAGUAUAGAUGGACUUUAUAUGAAGGACCAGUCAAAAGUUUGGACACACCUACUCAUUCAAGGGUUUUUCUUUAUUUUUUACU